UCUAAUUAUCAAAAAGUGGGCCCCACGACACGUGGCGAGAUUUGGUUGGACUUGAAUAAAGAUGGACACAUGUCAUGAAAAUUGACACAUGUCCACUUUGUAAAGAUAAUAUAUAAGUAUAAGUGGAUGACUAAGUCAUCACAUAUUUCACAAAUUAAUCUUGCAAAUUAGGUCUUAGAGAGAGGGGCUCUCAAGCUUAGAGAGAGAGAAGUUCUCGGCGCCACUAUUCACGGCGGCGCCACUGUUCACGGCGGCGCCACUGUUCACGGCACCACUAUUCACGGCGGCACACUGUUCACGCGUGCACUGUUCACGGCCAGCCUUGUUUAAAAAAAUAAAAUAAAAAAAUUGAUUAAAUCUCCAAGGUGAUUUAAAUGUCCCAAAGGAAGCGGCAAGUUAGGAUUUAAAUUGAAGAAAGAAGAGGCGGUGCAAUUGGUGCAAGCGAGUGUAGAAUUUGCUCCGAUUAAAUUAAGAUUUUGGACGAAACGGGAGUUGAGUUUGGACGAGCGUAAGACGCAAGUAAGGUACUAACGACAGAUUUGCUGACCCGCCUGUUUAGGACAUCUAUUAUGCUAUUCUGGAGCGCUCUUUUGUUCAGAGCCUAUACCUUGGUACAGUCUGCUGCUGUUGUAUAUAU